UACAGAGGUGGCAAGCGUUGUUCGGAAUUACUGGGCGUAAAGGGCGCGUAGGCGGUCCCGUAGGUCCCGCGUGAAAUCCCCCGGCUCAACUGGGGAACGGCGCGGGAGACUGCGGGGCUUGAGUUCGGGAGAGGGAAGCGGAAUUCCGGGUGUAGCGGUGAAAUGCGUAGAUAUCCGGAGGAACACCGGUGGCGAAGGCGGCUUCCUGGACCGACACUGACGCUGAGGCGCGAAAGCUAGGGGAGCAAACGGG
rnacentral:rRNA from 1 species